GUUUUAAUAAUUUAAGUUAAAAUAUUGAUUUUGUAAAUCAAAAUUGAAUUGAUAUUCUUAAAACA
rnacentral:tRNA from 1 species